rnacentral:lncRNA from 1 species
CCAUACAUCAAUGGGGACCACCACCGAAUAUUGUACUUUCCAACUAUAAAAAGCAAGAUGAUAAAGCAUAAACACUGACCAUUGUUAAGAUUAACCUUCACUCACCACGUGCUUCAGCCUCGUGCUUCCAAUGACACAAGGUCGCACAAAUCACCCCAUGCUUCAACUUCUUCCAGUUGCACAUGCACCGUUAUUUCAAGCCGAUGUUCUUCACCCACCAACACUCGCGCUUCGAAUGGAACAACAACGAUUUGUUUUUCUCCCACGAACCCUAAAC